GACCGAUUAGCUCAGUUGGUCAGAGCGUCGUACUAAUAUACGAGAUCACUCCAUUAUCAAGUCAUGCGAAGGCCGAGAGUUCAAGCCUCUCAUUGGUCA